GUGGGUGUAGCUCAAUUGGAUAGAGCAUCAGGCUGUGGCCCUGAGGGCUGGGGGUUCGAAGCCCCUCACCCACC
rnacentral:tRNA from 1 species